rnacentral:rRNA from 1 species
UACGUAGGGGGCAAGCGUUGUCCGGAAUCAUUGGGCGUAAAGCGCGUGUAGGCGGCCAGAAAAGUCCGCUGUGAAAACUCGAGGCUCAACUUCGAGCUGUCGGUGGAAACUUUCUGGCUAGAGUCCGGAAGAGGAGAAUGGAAUUCCUGGUGUAGCGGUGAAAUGCGCAGAUAUCAGGAGGAACACCAGUGGCGAAGGCGGUGCUCUGGGCCGGAACUGACGCUGAGGAGCGAAAGCGCGGGGAGCAAACAGG